UAACCACCGGAAGUGGGGAGUGUGAACGUAAACGUUGAGAAUACCGCGACAGAAUGUGUAUAUCCUCUCAUGAUAGCUUCAGAUUACUCCCUAGUGUGUAUCCCUCAGAAAGCAAUGACUUUUUCAUCGCACCAAAAUAUAAGACAAAAUGCAUCUGGGAACCAUUUGACUUGGACUCCAUACUGCAAUCAGUCAAGCGAGACCCCCCCCACGCUGUCUCUUUAACUGCUGCCUCUGUAAAUGCAUCACAAAGCUGCAGCUGGCCCUCGCUUACUGGAGAGACACAGGUGGGUUUGGUGGAUUCAACGUGCGCGGCGCGGCUGUCACAACAGAGCGCAGGGUUCACAU